AUGCUUGCCUAGAAGGGCGGAGCCGCCAUGAUGAAGGCUGAUCCCCAGGGCAAUGUGCAUCCAUUGCACUCCAGCUGUGCCGACCCCUGAAAUGGCUCCGCACUCUGGAAACUCGGUUUUGUAAUUUGUGGUAGUGGGGGAGUAUGUUCCCACCUUCUCCUG